rnacentral:rRNA from 1 species
CCUAUCCCUGUGUGCCUUGCUCCCACGACUAUUUCAGGGCUUAACCCUGAACCUGCAUUGGAAACUGUCGAACUAGAGUGUCGGAGAGGAAAGUGGAAUUCCUAGUGUAGCGGUGAAAUGCGUAGAUAUUAGGAAGAACACCAGUGGCGAAGGCGACUUUCUGGACGAAAACUGACGCUGAGGCGAAAGCCAGGGGAGCGAACGGGAUUAGAUACCCCGGUAGUCCUGGCCGUAAACGAUGGGUACUAGGUGUCGACGCGGCCG